rnacentral:rRNA from 1 species
AGAGUUUGAUCCUGGCUCAGAUUGAACGCUGGCGGCAGGCCUAACACAUGCAAGUCGAGCGGAAACGAAGGGAGCUUGCUCCCAGGCGUCGAGCGGCGGACGGGUGAGUAAUGCAUAGGAAUCUGCCCGAUAGUGGGGGAUAACCUGGGGAAACCCAGGCUAAUACCGCAUACGUCCUACGGGAGAAAGCAGGGGCUCUUCGGACCUUGCGCUAUCGGAUGAGCCUAUGUCGGAUUAGCUGGUUGGUGAGGUAAUGGCUCACCAAGGCGACGAUCCGUAGCUGGUCUGAGAGGAUGAUCAGCCACAUCGGGACUGAGACACGGCCCGAACUCCUACGGGAGGCAGCAGUGGGGAAUAUUGGACAAUGGGCGAAAGCCUGAUCCAGCCAUGCCGCGUGUGUGAAGAAGGCCNUCGGGUUGUAAAGCACUUUCAGUGGGGAAGAANGCCUUGGGGCUAAUACCCUCGAGGAAGGACAUCACCCACAGAAGAAGCACCGGCUAACUCCGUGCCAGCAGCCGCGGUAAUACGGAGGGUGCGAGCGUUAAUCGGAAUUACUGGGCGUAAAGCGCGCGUAGGUGGCUUGAUAAGCCGGUUGUGAAAGCCCCGGGCUCAACCUGGGAACGGCAUCCGGAACUGUCAGGCUAGAGUGCAGGAGAGGAAGGUAGAAUUCCCGGUGUAGCGGUGAAAUGCGUAGAGAUCGGGAGGAAUACCAGUGGCGAAGGCGGCCUUCUGGACUGACACUGACACUGAGGUGCGAAAGCGUGGGUAGCAAACAGGAUUAGAUACCCUGGUAGUCCACGCCGUAAACGAUGUCGACUAGCCGUUGGGAGCCUCGAGUUCUUAGUGGCGCAGUUAACGCGAUAAGUCGACCGCCUGGGGAGUACGGCCGCAAGGUUAAAACUCAAAUGAAUUGACGGGGGCCCGCACAAGCGGUGGAGCAUGUGGUUUAAUUCGAUGCAACGCGAAGAACCUUACCUACCCUUGACAUCGUGCGAACUUGGUAGAGAUACCUUGGUGCCUUCGGGANCGCACAGACAGGUGCUGCAUGGCUGUCGUCAGCUCGUGUUGUGAAAUGUUGGGUUAAGUCCCGUAACGAGCGCAACCCUUGUCCCUAUUUGCCAGCGAUUCGGUCGGGAACUCUAGGGAGACUGCCGGUGACAAACCGGAGGAAGGUGGGGACGACGUCAAGUCAUCAUGGCCCUUACGGGUAGGGCUACACACGUGCUACAAUGGUCGGUACAAAGGGUUGCAAAGCGGCGACGUGGAGCUAAUCCCAGAAAGCUGAUCUCAGUCCGGAUCGGAGUCUGCAACUCGACUCCGUGAAGUCGGAAUCGCUAGUAAUCGUGAAUCAGAAUGUCACGGUGAAUACGUUCCCGGGCCUUGUACACACCGCCCGUCACACCAUGGGAGUGGACUGCACCAGAAGUGGUUAGCCUAACUUCGGAGGGCGAUCACCACGGUGUGGUUCAUGACUGGGGUGAAGUCGUAACAAGGUAACC